GGGCGUAUGGCUCAGUUGGUUAGAGCGCUGCCUUCACACGGCAGAGGUCACAGGUUCGAAUCCUGUUACGCCCACCG
rnacentral:tRNA from 1 species